rnacentral:tRNA from 1 species
GGGGUGCCCGGUGCGCAGGCAACGGAUACUUCCUUGGUAAUCCGCGGGUUGCGGGUUCGAAUCCCGCCGCCGGCCCA